rnacentral:rRNA from 1 species
GCUGGCGGCAUGCCUAACACAUGCAAGUCGAACGUGAAAGUUCCUUCGGGUGCGAGUAAAGUGGCGGACGGGUGAGUAAUGCAUAGGAAUCUGCCCUGCAGUGGGGGAUAACCUGGAGAAAUCCAGGCUAAUACCGCAUACGUCUUACGAGAGAAAGCAGGCCUCUUCUUGAAAGCUUGUACUGCAGGAUGAGCCUAUGUCGGAGUAGCUAGUGGGUGGGGUAAAGGAGUACAAAGGCAACGAUCCGUAGCGGUCUGAGAGGAUGAUC